ACUCUUGACAUCCAGCGAACUUUCCAGAGAUGGAUUGGUGCCUUCGGGAACGCUGAGACAGGUGCUGCAUGGCUGUCGUCAGCUCGUGUUGUGAAAUGUUGGGUUAAGUCCCGCAACGAGCGCAACCCUUAUCCUUUGUUGCCAGCGAUUCGGUCGGGAACUCAAAGGAGACUGCCGGUGAUAAACCGGAGGAAGGUGGGGAUGACGUCAAGUCAUCAUGGCCCUUACGAGUAGGGCUACACACGUGCUACAAUGGCGCAUACAAAGAGAAGCGACCUCGCGAGAGCAAGCGGACCUCACAAAGUGCGU
rnacentral:rRNA from 1 species